rnacentral:rRNA from 1 species
GCCCAGACUCCUACGGGAGGCAGCAGUGAGGAAUAUUGGUCAAUGGCCGAGAGGCUGAACCAGCCAAGUCGCGUGAGGGAAGAAUGUCCUAAGGAUUGUAAACCUCUUUUGUCGGGGAGCAAAAAGGCUCUGCGGAGUCGUAUUGAGAGUACCCGAAGAAAAAGCAUCGGCUAACUCCGUGCCAGCAGCCGCGGUAAUACGGAGGAUGCGAGCGUUAUCCGGAUUUAUUGGGUUUAAAGGGUGCGUAGGCGGAAUGCCAAGUCAGCGGUAAAAUCGCGGGGCUCAACCCCGCCCAGCCGUCGGAACUGCCGGGCUAGAGUGGGCGAGAAGUGCGCGGAAUGCGUGGUGUAGCGGUGAAAUGCAUAGAUAUCACGCAGAACUCCGAUUGCGAAGGCAGCGCACCGGCGCCCUACUGACGCUCAGGCACGAAAGCGUGGGUAUCGAACAGGAUUAGAUACCCUCGUAAC